rnacentral:rRNA from 1 species
UUGGCGGACGGGUGAGUAAUGUCUGGGAAACUGCCUGAUGGAGGGGGAUAACUACUGGAAACGGUAGCUAAUACCGCAUAAUGUCGCAAGACCAAAGUGGGGGACCUUCGGGCCUCAUGCCAUCAGAUGUGCCCAGAUGGGAUUAGCUAGUAGGUGGGGUAACGGCUCACCUAGGCGACGAUCCCUAGCUGGUCUGAGAGGAUGACCAGCCACACUAGAACUGAGACACGGUCCAGACUCCUACGGGAGGCAGCAGUGGGGAAUAUUGCACAAUGGGCGCAAGCCUGAUGCAGCCAUGCCGCGUGUGUGAAGAAGGCCUUCGGGUUGUAAAGCACUUUAAGUUGGGAGGAAGGGCAGUAAGUUAAUACCUUGCUGUUUUGACGUUACCGACAGAAUAAGCACCGGCUAACUUCGUGCCAGCAGA